rnacentral:rRNA from 1 species
CGUGAAAUUGUUGAAAGGGAAGCGCUCAUGACCAGACUUGGGCUUGGGUGAUCAUCCAGGGUUCUCCCUGGUGCACUCUGCCAGACCAGGCCAGCAUCAGUUCGCUGUGGGGGAUAAAGGCUUUGGGAAUGUGGAUCCUCCGGGAGUGUUAUAGCACAUUGUGUAAUACCCUGUGGUGGACUGAGGUUCGCGCAUCUGCAAGGAUGCUGGCGUAAUGGUCAUCAG